rnacentral:rRNA from 1 species
CCGAGGAGUGACUAGCUACUGAAUCAUAGAAUUUCUUUAAAUUCAUGAUGUCGUAAGGGAAAAUAAUGAUAUUACCUUACUAUGAGUGUCGUCCAAAGCUGGUGCCAGAAGACUCGGUAAGACCAGAGACGCAAACGUUAAUCAUCUUAAACAGGCGUAAAGGGUUUGUAGGCAGCUUUCAUAAUAUUAUUUCUUACAAAAAUAAAGAAGUGGUCUGAUUGAAAGCUAGAAUCAAAAAGAGGUUAUAGUGUAUAACGCCUAGAGGAGGGCUGAUAUCCUUAGAUCCUAGGCAGAAUACUUAGGGCGAAGGCCACUCUCCACUAAUGAUUGACGCUGAGAAACGAAGGUAAGGGUAGGAAAUAGGAUUAGAUACCCCGGUACUCCUUUCUGUAAACGAUGAAUGGUAGUCAUUAGUAAAAUUAACUAGAGACGAAGUUAACACAAUAACCAUUCCGCCUUGUGAGUACUACUGCAAAGUAGAAAACAAAAAAAUUAGUCGGUCUCGAAGCAAACGGAGUGAAGCAUGUUAUUUAAUG